rnacentral:rRNA from 1 species
CCUACGGGAGGCAGCAGUGAGGAAUAUUGGUCAAUGGACGAGAGUCUGAACCAGCCAAGUAGCGUGAAGGAUGACUGCCCUAUGGGUUGUAAACUUCUUUUAUAUGGGAAUAAAACAGGGUAUGCAUACCCUCUUGUAUGUACCAUAUGAAUAAGGAUCGGCUAACUCCGUGCCAGCAGCCGCGGUAAUACGGAGGAUCCGAGCGUUAUCCGGAUUUAUUGGGUUUAAAGGGAGCGUAGGUGGAUUGUUAAGUCAGUUGUGAAAGUUUGCGGCUCAACCGUAAAAUUGCAGUUGAAACUGGCAGGCUUGAGUACAGUAGAGGUGGGCGGAAUUCGUGGUGUAGCGGUGAAAUGCUUAGAGAUCACGAAGAACUCCGAUUGCGAAGGCAGCUCACUGGACUGCAACUGACACUGAUGCUCGAAAGUGUGGGUAUCAAACAGGAUUAGAUACCCCUGUAGUC